UCGGGAAUUUUGGGCAAUGGGCGAAAGCCUGACCCAGCAACGCCGCGUGAGGGAUGAAGUAUUUCGGUAUGUAAAGCUCUUUUACCCGGGAUGAUAAUGACAGUACCGGGAGAAUAAGCUCCGGCUAACUUCGUGCCAGCAGCCGCGGUAAUACGAGGGGAGCUAGCGUUGUUCGGAAUUACUGGGCGUAAAGCGCGCGUAGGCGGUUUUUUAAGUCAGAGGUGAAAGCCCGGGGCUCAACCCCGGAAUUGCCUUUGAAACUGGAAAACUAGAAUCUUGGAGAGGUCAGUGGAAUUCCGAGUGUAGAGGUGAAAUUCGUAGAUAUUCGGAAGAACACCAGUGGCGAAGGCGACUGACUGGACAAGUAUUGACGCUGAGGUGCGAAAGCGUGGGGAGCAAACA
rnacentral:rRNA from 1 species